UAGGGAAUCUUCCACAAUGGACGAAAGUCUGAUGGAGCAACGCCGCGUGAGUGAAGAAGGGUUUCGGCUCGUAAAGCUCUGUUGUUAAAGAAGAACGUGGGUAAGAGUAACUGUUUACCCAGUGACGGUAUUUAACCAGAAAGCCACGGCUAACUACGUGCC
rnacentral:rRNA from 1 species